UUAAGCGUCCAUACCGCGUGAACACACCGGUUCCCGUUCGGAUCACCGAAGUUAAGCAACGUCGGGCGCGGUCAGCACUUGGAUGGGUGACCGCCUGGGAACACCGCCUAACGUUGGCU
rnacentral:rRNA from 1 species